ensembl:lncRNA
CACAGAGGCAGCUGGGGGACAGAUACUCCAUGCCUAUGGUUCUUGGUGCUCCAAGGACAUGAAGAGCAGUGCAGUUGUCCAUGCUCCUGACUCUGGAGUCAAGUGAGCUCUGACUGCCUUAGGGUCCUAGGCACCAGCCUUUGUGGAUCCUCAGGUUUGCUCACGGAAGUGUAAGGAUGCACCUUGUAAAGCACCUGUGCCUGCUGCUCCCAGGGUGCCUUCUUUUUGAAGGGAAAGAGAGAAAUUGGAAGGAGCUUGGAAAGAUGGCAGCAUGGAGUCAGGGGCCAGAGAGCUGCAAGCAUCCUGAGGGAAGGAACGGGGAGGUCACCAGCUUCAGGAGCUACACGCCAGGGAAAUGAUGCCCAGCAUCAAACUAGACACAUGAAUUUUGAUCAACAUCCUGUGAAUGGAGGGACUGAGUCUUUUGAAGAUGAUUCAGUGGAUUCAAUGGAUUUGAAGAUCUGUGGACAUAUUUUGAUUGGGAAAAAUUUGAAAAUCUUUCUCAAGUGAAAGCUGGAGCUGAGACUUUUAGAUCUCAGGGUAUCAUACACUUCCCUUUUCACUCCUUUCUCUAUUUUUAAAUGUCUUUUUCACUUUUCUGUUCUUAUUUUCUCCCUGUGUACAGAUCAAAUGGACUCCAGACCACAUUUCUUUCCUCUUGUUUGUGUGUGACCCAAAUCUCAUGACCCAGAGUUCUAGCAAACACCUAAGUUGUGAAAGUCUCUCUGCUGUUGAUGGGUUCUCAGUGGGAAAAAAAGAACAUGUGAUAUUGAAUUUUCCAACACAGGCAAUUGGGUCACCAUAUCCAGGAAGGAAAGAAAGUCUGCUUCUAAGAAGCACCUUGAAGCAUCCUUGGUUAUUCGUUCUCUGGGUGACAAAGAGGCUCACCUUCCUUGGCUCACUAGAGGCCUUAAUGGACUGGCAAAUAUUAUGGGACGUUUUGGUGGCCCCAGAGGAAAAUCUUUCAUUCAUUCAUUUCCAAAAAUUUAAAUUCAGAAGUUUAGUCCUAAUAAGAUCCAAUUAUUAUGUGCUUGAACAACCUAAAAACAGCCUGGGUGAGUACAGAAUCCAUUUUAUCCUUACCAAAACAGUCCAGCCUACCAUGGAGUUUGUUCAAAUGAUCCAUUUUCAUUCAUGCAUUAUAGAAAACUUGCCAAAUGUAGCCCAGCCUUUUUGUUUUCAAAAGCAACUGCAUUUUAAUCAUCUCAGAAAUAUUAAGAUCCCUCUAGUCUUGGAUAAUCUGCUCCAGGUCCCAUCAUUCCUACCAAGGGUAAACAUUCCCAAAAGUCCAGCACAAAACUCUUUUGUAGAAUAUAAAGCCUUCUGCAUUUCGCUAGAAGAACAAUAAGGUCUUUAUGAGUGACAACAAUACUUUAAGAAUUUGGAGAAAUCCUCCUUUUGAAGUCCCUGCUCUUUUUGGAAUGCCUGGAGCAUUAGUUGGAGGUUAUUCUCUAAUAGUUUCAUGUUUGCCUCAGGAAAUAUGCCUUGACUAUUAUACAUUGAGUGUUUAUUUGUGUAGUAUAGAAAAUCCUUUACAUUUUAUUUAAUUUCAUUUUGAUUUCAUUUAAUACUAAUUGACUCUCAGCAAAGUGGAUUUUGUUACCCCAUUUUAAAGAGGAGAAAACUAAGGUUUCAAUAUAUUUUCAAAUUUGCCUGAAGUUGAGCAUCUAGUUCACAACAGGGCCAGAAAAUGAAUGUUGGAUCCAAAUUUUUUUUAUUUAUUAAGUUUAUUGGUACAUUUUAGGUAUAUAAUAUGAUGACAUUCAUCAUUGGGAGUUUGUACCUUUACAUGAUAUAUCUUGGUUCUUAUUUUUUUCUCCAUUCCCCUGCCCUCCCUUGGAUCCAAAUAGUUUUUAAACCCAGGUGCCUGCAAGUCUGUUAAGUUUGUGACUAAAUCACUGUGCAUUUUUGCAAUGAAUAUAAAUUCCUGGACCCCAAACUAGACUCCAAGUCAAAAUCUUGGGGGCAAAGGCCAAGAAAUCUUUUUUUACUAAGUUUCCCAAGAGUUUGUCUAGAGAACAAAACCAAUUUUUGGAGUAACUGGUAAGUAAAUGGGCAUGGUGAGAAAAUAUUUCUUUCUCCUCUUGGGGUUGUAGUUGGGUAACAUGAGUGUCAUAUAGACAUCUGACCUUGUGCUGUGGCUGCAAAUCUCAUUUGGCCUUGACUGUGGGUGUGCUUGCCCUUUAGUUUUUAAGUGGUGUAGAAAUAGGCCAAUACAUUUUGUGAGACAUGCUGGACAUUUUGUGCAGCUUAACAUUACCUGAUUUAUCUUACAGCAAUCCACAACUAAAACUUAUGUUAACUCAGGACACUUCAGAUAAUUCCCAGUUUAUGUAUUUCACCCCUCACUUCUCUGCCCUUUGACUUCAGCAGCCAAACUUCUUCACUGAAGUUUAAAUGUAAAGCAAUACUUGAUUAAGGGGUUGGGCCUUAGCUGGUCUCUCUUUAGUACCAAAGUAGAACUUCAUAGAAAUUAUACUCUUCCAGGGGCAACAUGUUUUCUGUUUUCUUUGUAAGGGAAAAUUCUGACUCUUUUUAGGUGGAAGAUGGACUAUAGAUUUCUGCGAGUAUGACACAUACCUAAUAAUCACCUAUAGUAAUGUCUGUCUCAGUAACAAAACACUUCACUCAAUUGUAUCUCACAAGCAUUUAUUGAGUAUGUACUACUUUCCAGACAUUGGCUCAAGUUUAAAAUGCAUAAGGAAUGCUGCAAUAAGAAGGCACUUAAAAUAGUCCACAUAUGGCAUCUGCAUUGGUAGAUUUUGUUCAUUAAUGGAAGAUUGCUAGGAUCAUGAAUUAUCCUUUGCUAAUACCCAGUGGAAUGAAGCAAAAAGCUAAGGAAAAUUAAAAGGUAACAGAAGUACGACAAAUGACACUGUAGAACACUUUAAAAAGAAGCAGCAGUUGCUGUAUUUAGUUAAGCCUGUAAUGGUGCAAAGCUCAUCUUUCAUUAGUAAUGGGGUUGGAUGCAGUCUCUUUGGCCUGUCCCUGCUAUAGUUAUUCUGAAUACAGCAGAACUCAUUUCAAGGCAAAAAGCCUCUGGGAGCUUCCUGAAGCAGCAUUUGGACCUUAACUUGCUACCAUCCUUCGUAUUUAUCCGGUAUUUUUCACCUUUCCUGCUACAGCAGAAUCAAACUUAUUCCUAUAAAUUUGUAAAAAACAUUUCUUCCCUGUGGCCUCAGCCCACCCACCCCAAUGGCCUCAUAGCCUCCUUGGGCUCCAAGUGGCACCAGGCGCCAUCUGCCAACCCAGCACACCUUCCCCCCAAACCCAAACAAUCUGUAGCUUAACCCUGUUUCCUCCCCACUUACUGCCACGUCUCUUUUGAUUACCCUGCAUAUUCCAAAGCAACCUUCUAAAAACAUUCUCACUUCCUGCUUCCUGUGCCUUGCAAUUUAUCUUCCCACAACCACUCUUCCAAAAGUGAGGUUAGGGUGUCACCUUAACUUCCACAUGUCAUGGUCACAGGCCUAGUCCCCAUCUUUACUGAAUUUCAGGAUCUGGCAUUAUUUUUCACUAUCACCCGGGUGCAGGAAACUCUAAUAGAACAAUCCCUUCUCAUGACCCAAAGGCAGCAAGAAAGGUCAGAAGGCCCAGAUACCUGUUCCAAGGUGCCCUCUAUGAAAUGCUCCCCGCCCUUGAAAUUUUUGCUAGUUGGAGUGUGCCUAGGAAACCCUCUUAUGUGUAUGCAUUCCCCAAGGCUGGGGCAUCAACCUUUUCCUAGAUUACAAUUACUUCCUCAGCUAUCAUACCUCCUUUUAGGAUGCCAAAUAUCUGUUCUCUAUGGAUGAACCCCAAUCUACAUCUAGCUCUGCAUGCCAGAAACCACAAACCUGCACUUCCAAGAGCACAGUCAGCUUCUCUUCAACCUUCCAGUGUCCAGAACCACCGUUCUGACCCUUGCCAUCCUCCUCUCAUCAGCAUCCUUGGUGUUCUGCUUCUGGGUUCGUGUCUUCAGAUCCUCUCUGAUGCUCUCCCUCUCCCUUGGCCUCAUACAUCCUGCCCAUGCACUUAGUGACUCGCUCCCUGCACCCGGCAUCAGCUCUUGCUUGGUUCUCAUUGUCCCUCUUCCAGCUGCUGCCUUCAUGACUGAACAGGGUGCAUGUAAUUCUCCAGUCCAGUCCCUCUCUCGGAAUUCUCUCUUAAGUGAUGCCUGACCCCAUCUUACAUCUGUUCUAACAUGUGGCAACUCUCUGCUGCAUUCUGAAUGAGUUCUAAAAUCCAUAGUAUGGCUGGAAUUCAAGGCCAUCAACAAUUUAGUCUGCAUCCAAUGCUCCUGGGACUGCACCUCACACCCCAGGGUACUUCCCGAGUGCAUGCACUGCCACACCAAGGUCACGUCAAGGCCACGUCAGAUGCUGUCCUGUCCAGGAACCCUUCUUUGCUUGCCUGGAUGGCAGUAACAAACUCACCCCAUACCUCCCUUGUGGCAUGUGUGAUCUUCACCAUGGUGCUUAUACAUUCGACUUGUCAUACUAAAGUAUAAAUUCCAUGAGAGUAACAGAAAAGGGUGAAGAUUUAAGGCAUACUUUUUUUCCUUUUCCUAUACUGUUCAUAUGGGGGUUUUUUUUGCAAAUUUAUCAAUAGUUAGUAAUAACUUUAUUAAGUAAAACACAUUUGUCCUGGCAGAGCUGGUCGAGAUUAAAUUGACAAUGCUAUCAGUCUCAACCCAUUGACAAAGGGGCCCUCACCAUGGGUGAGGCACUUCUGGUACCUUGUUUCACCAAAUCUUCACAAAAUUUGAGCGAGUUGGGCAUGACCAUAAUGACUUCUGCAAAAGAGGUAAACAAAGUCCCAGGCGAUUUGGUAACUGUCUCAAAUUCUAUAGGAGCCCAGGACAUAAAUCUGUGUUGAUGGCUCUUGGGCUAUGGGUUCUUGCUACCUAACUUGGCCAGCUUUAUUUAUUUUUUGAGUUCUUAAAUGGACUAACAGGUCCUAUGGCUACAUACUGAGAAAGGCAGAGGUCAAAGGGGACUGUCAUCUGCAGCCCUCUGGCUCGUCUUUCCUUCCACUAGUCUUUUUUUUUUUUUGGUACCAGGGAUCGAACUCAGGUCCUUAGCUUUUGAGGCAGGCAGUGGAACCACUGAGCUAAAUCCCCGGCCCUCUUCCACUAGUCUUAAUGUCAACUAGAGAAAAACUCUUCAAGCAAAACUUCCACGUAUUUGAAUAAAAAACAGAGAAAAAGGAAGAUACUUUGUGCAGGAUCAUAAAGUGGCCAUCAUUAUCAUCAUCAUCAUGAUCAUCAUCACUACUAUCCUCCUUCUUAUUAUUGUUUAACACUGAUCAUUUCUCUUCAUUUCAAGUUUCACAUCUGAGGCAUUUAUGUCCUCUUGAGCCCAGAGAAGAUGACGAGCUGACUAUUGUAGUCCUUCAGGGCUCUCAUUAUUAGUGAGAUCAGUGAUGCUUGUGAUGCCUAAGAGACCAUUUCUGGAAGGUCUGAGGGUCAGGACAGAGACAGAUGAGGAGGGGAGGCACAAAUGGGAAUAGAAGAAGAGAUUAGGAGCCCUUUCCAUGAGCCUUCCCUCUAUCUUAGAAUAGCCAGUACACUGUGGGCAGCUCAUUUUUUUAAAAAAAAUUGCAGUGCCAGGGAUUGGACACAGGGCCUUCACACUGAGCCAUACCCACAGCCCUUUUUAAAAGGUUUUUAAUUUUGGGACGGUCUCACUAAGUUGCUAAGUUGCCCAGGCUGGGUUCAAACUUGUCAUCUUCCUGCAUCAGCCUCCCAGAGUGUUGGGGAUUACAGACAUGCACCACAAUGCCCAGCUUGCCAACUAUAUUUUUAAAAUGGUUUUAUUAAAAACAGAAAAGACCACAAAUCCUAAGUGUCCAGUUUCCUGAAUUUUCCCAAAGCAAACACAUCUGAGAAAUCCACACCUCAGUUAAGAAAUAAAAUAUCUGCAGGGCCUAGGGAGCUCCACUCCCUGGGGUCCUUUCAGUCCCUACUCCCCCACCCCCACCUCCAGGACCCCCUUUCUGGAUCCAUUUUAAGCAAAAUCUGCUGUUCAGGCCAGGAUGGCAUGUGCUCUCCUUCAACAAGUUUUUGUUGGCAGCAAACUGCCAUCUCAAAGAGGGGGAAAGAAAAAUGUGUGUGAGGGAGUAAUUUUGUGUGUAGGAGAAAAGUGUUUCUAAUUAUCAGUCCCGCAGACACGAGGGGCAGAAGGAAUAGUGAAGGAGGGAAGUCGGUCCGUUAAUGCGGUCCUGGCUCAGCUUCCUGGCCAGGGCCUGGAAGCCGUUUGAGGAAGGAAGCCCUUUUGUUGUUUUGAGGAAGGAAGCAAAUAGAGUGGCCCUUUCCCUACCUUCCCCAGCCUGCCCAGGCUCAUGCCCAUAGUGUGCAAGUCAGUGGACAGGUCAGUGGCUAUUUAAUAGCAACAUGUUCGCUCGGAGGCAGAUAAGAUAUUAAACAUAUGGUUUCGAUUUUUUUUUUUUUUCUGUUUUUAACCAGUCAGAUGGAGUGUCACAGACCUAACUUCAGGAUUUUCUGGGUUCUGCCAAACUGUAAUGGGAAAGUAACUCCUACACCAGUGACCAUGACCCCCAACCCCCAGGCUCAGCAGCUUUGGGGGCCCAGGAGGAAGGGACCACAGAUGGCAUGGUGGACAUGCAGGGUCACUGAAGCCUCAGAGAGGGGCGCUGUCGUGUUGACCUGACAAAGCACACAGACCUGUCCCCUCUGUGCCGUGCCUUUCUGUGCUAGUUUAUCAAACUGGAAGGGAGAGUUCAGAACAUCAAAUGCAACUUCACAGCCACAAAGCGAUUAACUCAAGAUCCAACAUGUACCCAUAUCUACACAGGAUUAGCUGGCAACAUUCUCCAGCUUUCUAUCUUGGGUUACUGGCUACCAGUGCUUCUAGAAAUCAUCAUUCCUCUCAGUUCCUUUUUUGGAUCAAUUAUUUAGUAUGGUCUGGGUUAUACAACAGAAAUUUCACCCUGAGGUGGGGGAAUGCAUGCUCUUUAGCAGUCAGCUAGAAAAUUGGCAGUUUUUGAUAAAAAGGCACAUCUUCAGCAUGGCAAGCAGACUGUUGGAAAAGUUUAUAGGACAUCAGUAAUCUUAACAGACAGAGGGGCAGAAAGAGAAAGGAAGUAAGGAAGGAGAGAGAGGGAGAAAGAAGGAAAGAGAGAAAGAGAGAAAGAAAAGAAAGAAAGAAGAAAGAAAGAAAGAAAGAAAGAAAGAAAGAAAGAAAGAAAGAAAGAAAGAAAGAAAGAAAGAGAGAGAAAGAAAAAAGAGGCAGAGUGCAGUAGAGUAGAGGCCUAGGGAUCUUUAAGUUAAAAAUCGAAAUGCUUGUCUCAGGGCAAGUCUGAAAAACCAUGCAGCAGAUUCCUGCUUCCUCUAGAUGAAAACCAGGACACAGGGUAGGGAAGUGGCCCAGGCCCUCCUUGCCCUCCCUGUGUUUACUUGGGGUGUCUCUGAGUGGGCCUGAGUGGAACUGAGGGAAAAAAAUCCUUCCUGGUUGCUGUCUGGAGGAAGCAGGGCAGGUGAGUGUGGCUGGCUGUUGGCUGCAGCUGGGAUUAAUUAGUUUCUUCUGUGACCUUGACACCUACUGGCGGAGCAAACCUGUCUCUAAGCUGCUGAAGACUUGGUGCUGAGAGCCGCUGAGGAACUCGGGGAGGCUGGGCUACUGCUAAAAUGAUCACCCAGAGACUGAGCCAGAAAACUAAAGAAACAACAAGAGAAAAGGAAACCCAAAACCAUGUAUUUUAACUCUGAAAACUGCCUUAGUGUGUUACUCAAAUUGUGUGACGAUGUAUCUCCAUCUAUCACUCUUUGUGCGUAUAUCACAUACGCUUAUUUAAAUCUCUAUUUAUCUACCUCAUUCGGCAAGACAAUGUCUAGCACCUUGACAGGUAUUUCUGGAGGUGGCCAUAGUCUAUAGCAGUGAUGGCGAACGUAUGGCAUGCGUGCCACAACAGGCAUGCAGAGCCCUCUCUGUUGGGACACGAGCCAAGUCACCCCAGCAUCCAAGCAUUGAAUGACAGUUUUUUCUAAACUAAAACCUCAGCACUCAGGCUUGAUGGCAGUGUUGCACUACACUUUGCGAUACAUAAGUGGGUUUUGGGUCACAGUUUAGGCACUCGGUCUCUAAAAGGCUUGCCAUCACUGGUCUGUGGUGAGGACUGGAGACAAUUUUAAAGCAUCCCUUGCCAUUGUGGAAGAUGUCUGUCCCUCCCCACUUCACCAUCACCUAUUGGUUUUGCCCACUGUGCUCAGGCCUGAGCAGAGCCCAGAGAAAACGAGUGUCCCACCAUCUUCCCUACCACCGCUGGUUCAGUGUUCAGAUGGCCAAUCAUGGGCCAAAGCUGCUGGAGAAACCAAGAAUAUCUUGGGUUGCAUAAAUAAAAUGUCACACCCCAAAUAAGGGAGCUGCCAUACUGGUCCUGCUGGAGGAAGCUUGACAUCCUCAAAUGUGUGAAGGGCUGGCCAGCUGGAGACUCAGUGGAUCCGCCUAGGGUUAAUCCAAAGUCCUGAAGUUAGAAAUAAGGGUGAGGAGUGAAGGUAUCAUGGAAUUGCACUCUAUUGCAGCCCAGGACAGAAUUUUCUGACCAAAUGUUAUGGCUGGGAUGCACAAUGGAGCUGGGCUUGUGCAGCUGGAGAGACACAAGGUAGUUAGCAGGUGAGUAGUUAGAAAGUAAAGAGGUCUCCUUUGGACUCUAAGGACUCUAAAAUGUCUCCCCACAGCAACCGCCAUGCUGGCACCUGAAUGCCUGAAUCCACCAGGCAGCCACUGGAGUAGCCAGUUCUGGGAGGUAAAGAGUUAAAAAGAUCAAAGCUCUCUGGGGGCCCCAGGGGCAGACAGUCCCUUUGAUCCCGCUCUUAAUUACAGCCCAGUUGCACUGGGGAACUGUAAAGAAAAGAAACAGGGAAACUCUAGAGAUAGGGUUUGUUUGCUUUCCUGAGGGGACAGUCUUUGCGGUGGCUGCCAGGAAGCUGACACUGCAGCGGCUUGGAGGAUGGCUGUGCGAAAUCAAUCAUCCCUUCACUGGUCAGGUGCAGGAGGACCCCAGGGUCAGGGGCCCUUUCGGCUGGAUGGGAGGUGCAGACUUGGAGCCAGGAGGAGAAAGGAGACCACGCGAACUCUCACAGUCACCUGUGUAGUCAGAGAGGAGAACUGCCUGCCUCGGUGGAAAAAAGGAGGCUUGCCUAGGGAUGAAGAUGGGGUCUCUAAGAGUUCUCACAGAAGGCCACAGAGUCACAACAGCACGAGAAACAACUCACCCUCCAAAAGGUUAGCUGCUGGUCAUGAGCUUGUGGGCUCUCUGUUUGAGCCAUUUACCCAGUGAGGCCCAUCGGGUUCUUUAACUCUCAGUCAGAGAGUGCGCCUGCGCAUGCACAUACACGUAUGAGGCUGGAGAGGAAUGAAAAGGCCACAUAAUGGAGACCAUGCCCUCGUCAUGCCUGGCGGUGUACCAAGUCCCUUUGUGAGGAGGGACUCCCGGCUAAAACUGGACUCCUGCCUGCACAGUGCGCCAGUAAUUGCUUGUUUAUGUUCUGUUGAACUAUUUAGUGCUGAACUAUUUUAUUCUGCUCCCUGUGGUUGCAACUGUGAAAGAUUUCCUGAAGCAAUCCCCCGUUUUUUGCAACCCCCAAGCAGUUGCUGCUGAAAUAAGGUCUGGGUGUCUCUAUGCUACCAACGUGGGUUUCACCCUUCUUCCUGUCACUGGUUAGUGUGUGACCCAGGCAAGCAGCUUGGUCUCUCUAAGCUUCAUUUUCUUUGAGAAAAGUUUUAACUGAACUGACAUGCAUAGAGCUCUCAGCAGAGGGCUCGCCAUAUAGUAGGCAGUCCAUAAAUUCAGUAAGCAUUUGCUCCGUUUCAUUCCUAAAAGGUUAGUGGUAAAUUAAAAAUUCAUAAAAACAUCAGCCAUCUGGGUGGCCUACAUGGGCAUCUGGGCAGGAAGACUUCCUCUAAAUCAGUUUAGCUUGACUCCUGGCUGUAGGAAAGAGGAAGCCACGCGCAGGGCACAGAGAAGAGAAGCACCCCAGAGGAGAGAGGGCAGAUGGAGGCGCAAGGUAGGAGCCUUAUAACCAGAUAGAAAAUGUCUGGAAUCAGGCCUGGGCCUUCGCAGAGGCAACUCCAUUAGAAGGCUAUCUCCUCUAAUGAUGUCUUCAUUUCAUGCUAUGAGACUUUCAAUCUAACAUUUUUAAACAAAUGCAGUGAUAAUGGCAUAGAACACUCUCUCUGUGCUCUUCAUAUUCUUUGGAGAGAUGAGCACAGAAUAGCAUUAUCUACAUCUGAAUAGGUGAUUUUGCCAGAACUCCCCAAACUGGCUCACUGAGGCUGUGAUAGCUAAAGUAGGCACAUUAGACUCUGGGGCUCUAGUUCUACCCCCAGAAAAAGGGAAUCUAAGGCUGAUUUCUAACACAUGUAUUUCUUAGGAGAAAAGAAAAAAUCUCAGGAGCAGAUGUGUAAACACACUAGCCUUUCCUGGAGGUGGUAACCAAAUCCCUUGGGGAAUCGGAGUCUGUGCCACAGAGCAGGCAGACAUUUUGGGUGUGGGACGAUAUCCACAGACAGGCGAUGUGCAGCCGCAGAGCUGGUCAACCCCAGUGAAGUCCCCGCCUUCCGACCUUGGCCCUAGCAGCUCUGGUGCAAGGCUGCUGGUUACUUCAGCCCUACUUCAGCCCCACCCUGAGCCUGAGGCAGCCUGGUGAGGCUUCCUGGGCUGAAGUUUUAGCAGCUGCUUCCAGCCCUAUGGCUUGCAUUUCAAAGCAGCCUUCUGGAUCCAGGCAUCUGCAGCCCCUUACAUUUCUGCAACACAGCCAUUGUAGUUUAGAGCCUCGCAGACGUGCGCCAUCUCAUCCUCUGGGGGUUUGUUAGAAAAGCAGAAUAUUGGCCUCUCCCCAGGCCUAUUGAAUCGGAAUCUACAUUUUUAAUAAGAUCCCCAGGUGAUCUGCAGGCACACAAAAGUUUGAGAAGUGCUGUUCUGAUUUAGUCAUCGGAGGCACCUGGCAUGAAGGCAGCAACCACUUGGCCAAGUACUUUUUCAUCUUGAAAGUCUGUUUUCUUCAAAGCAGUCCUAUGGCCGGGCUCAUGUAGGAGCCACUAGAUCCAGGAAGAAUAAACUCCACGGUCUUGGAGAACAAGAUGACCAAGAUGACCAGUAUCUAGCCCUAUUUCCAGUCACACUGGAAUUACUGUUCUAACCAGUAAUAUCCCCCAAAUGCUUUUUUUUUUUAGUUACCAGGGAUCCAACUUGGGACCUUGCGCUUGUGAGGCAGGUGGUGGAACCACUGAGCUAAAUCCCUGGCCCUCCCCAAAUGCUUAUUUUGAAAGACAGAUACAGAAGUCUUGAUAAUUGUUGGUUUUAAAUGGUGUUUUUUGGUUAUUAAUGGAGAUCUACUUAUUAGAAAGUCACUUAUAGAUAUGAAAGAUUAGCAACAAAUGCUCCCUUUUCUAUUCCAAUUUUCUAAAGCUCUACACAUGGCCCUGGACCAGUGGUGGCGAAUCUAUGGCACACGUGCCGCAGUCAACUGUUUAUAUCAUUCAAAGCUCCAAAAGGUGCACCAUCACUGCCCUAGAUGAAUAUUUGACUGCUGCUAGAGACUCGUGCCAAAGAGAGUAAAAUACUUGAGAGGUUAGUGCAAUGCAGAAGGCCACACUGCUUUCUCAUGCAGUCCUGGAGACUGGGCUAUGGUGUUUAAUCGUAAUGUUUAUUUGGGUUUAUUUUAAUUUUUUAUUUUUUUCUGGUAUUGGGGCUCGAACUCAGGACUUUGCGCUUUCGAGGAAGGCACGGUGCCACUGAGCUAAAUCCCCAGCCCUGCUUAUUUAUGUUUUAAAACACUUUCUCUUUUGUGGAUAUUUAUUUUCCUGGUUCUUUGCUAGCUCUUCUUCUAGACCUCUGGCUAUGUUCCCAAAAGCUCUUCCUGUAUCAUCUGCUCAUCUCUCUUCAUGCUCCCACCUUCCAUGAGGUUCUGAGAAUUCAUGGCUUCAACUAUAGCAUCUACACAGUUGCGUCUCAGGCUGACCUUGAUAACUGGGUGUCUAGACUGCUCUUCAUCUCCACAUUGUCCUAUACUUAUGAGAUCUCUCCACUUAGAUGUCCCAUCUCUUGCUAAAAUCUCUGGGCCCUAAUCCUAAAACUCAUCAUCUCCCUUGCUCCUCUGAUCCUAAUCCCAUUGUUUGGCCCCCUUUUCUCUCUACCCCCACUUCUUUCAUACUGUCUACCAUCAGCGUUUCUCUUGAGAGCCAUGACUUAUCACUGGCUUUUCUAGGCCCUCGGUAGUUUGUACUAUUUUUCCUUUAAGAUGCCUUUGGAUCUGCCUUUUCUCCUGCAUUCUCACACUUCCCAUGCUCAUCCACCUCCUUCCCACACUAUGCCCAGAAUAUUGCAAAAGUUUUCUGGCCACUGGCAUCACUUGUUACAAAUGUUCUAACCUCUUACCCAAUCUAAUAAAUCCUAGAUGAAUCUCUAUAAAGCAUUAGACCUGUUUUACAGGUGAUGAGAUAAAACUCCUUCGUAGGGCUGUUCAGCUCUUCUGCAUUCUGAUUCCAGCUGUUCCAUCUAGCCUGAUGUACCCCUGUUCCCUAACAUUUCAUCUCCAAAGACAUGUUUCCUCACUGUCCCCACCCCACAUCAUGCUGCCUCUCCUUCCUGAGAUUCUGAUCACUGGCUUCUGUAAAUUUUUUGACCACAUAUUGUCAGACAAAUAUUUUUAGCAGAAACAGUCAUCAUAAAGAUAGCUACUUAUUUGUCAGUGGUAUGCAUUCAUAACAAUACUUAGAUUUUCUAUACAAUACUGAACAUAAAUGAAAAUUUACAUUUAAAAAGAUAAGCUAAAUAAUAUAUUAGUUCGACUGUUUUCUUACAUAGCGAGUAAUUUUGCCCUUGGCCUGGGGUGUGAAUAUUCUUCAUCAGAAAUGUGGAUCUAGACAAAAUAUCUCCAUUCUGAUCCAGAGGAAGCAGCCCUUUCUCCAAGACCUUAUCUACCACUCCAACCCAAACAGAACUCGCCUUUCCUGAACUCACAGAACAUUAAAAUUACAAGCACUAAAUCAUUUAUAUAAUAUAUGCUUCACUGAUACUUUUAGUUUGAUUAAUUGAAACUUUCAUUUAAGAUGCCAGAAACUUAUAAAUUUUUAGAAUAAUUCAAUCUCUUAAUUAAAAACAUUACUGUCUUACCAAAAUUGCUUGGCUUGGGCUCUACUCAAGUAUGCCACAUGAAUUACGAGAAAACUCCAAGUGACACUGCAGUGCAAUUUCAUUCAUCUCAUUAAAUAGCAUCUACUUGGGUCUCCAUAGAUUUGAGGAAUUUUUUUUUUCCACUUUUUGGCUAAUAAGACUUUUAGCAUAGUCCUUAACUUCACUCAAAUUCAGUCUUCAUUUAUAAAACAGGAGAAAAGGGGCAUUUAAAAAUAAGCAUAAAAACUGAAGUGACAUACAAGAUGGUAGCAAGUUACCAUCACGAUUACACUUCUUUUUAUUUUUUUUUUGGUACCGGGGAUCGAACUCAGGUCCUUGCACUUGUGCAGCAGGCGGCAAAACCGCUGAGCUAAAUCCGUGGUCCUACACUUCUUAUUUACACAAUAUAAUAUAAACUUUAAGGUACAUCUGAGAUUUCAAAAAUAACUGACCUUCCACAUCCAACUUGAGCUUUAAUAGCUCUGUGCACGUGAAUUAUUUUUAUUUUCUCCAUUUUGUUUGUUCAGCUGAAGCCAUGAUGCUGCCUACCUAGAGGGCUUAGGGGUCUUGCAGGCCUGAAUUUAAGAUGUGGCUCUGCCAAAUGUUAGCUGCAGGGUCACAAGUGUGUCACUGAGUCCUUGGGAGCUUCUUUGCUUAUAUAAGCCAAUUGGGAAGAACAUUAAUCUUCUGGGCCUCUCUUGUUGUUGUUCUAAGGCUUAAAUUACAUGAGAUAUGUGUGCAAAGCCCUUGUUUAUAACACGUGACUCUAAAUACUGUUUUUCCCCCAACCUUUCAGCAGGUUUAAGAGAACUCAGAUGCUCCCAUGGGAAAACAGAAUAUUUGAAUUUUGGUUUCCUUGUUGACUUUGGUUUUUUUCCCCUUUAUAAUCAUUAAUAAAUGGUGGAUCCUAGAAGCACCUCACUGCCCUAUGACUGGGUUGGGGGUUGGGACGUGGAGUAGGCACAUAUAUUGUGCCCUAAUACCUUCUGAGCACUCAGAGCUGAGGAGUCAACCUCUCUUCGAGCUCCCAAAGCCUACUCUAAAUACACCUGCAGUGUAAGAAUGCAUCUGGGGACAAGAGGUAUGUGCCCACCUACCCAGUACACUUCUAAACUGGUCCUUUGCUUCAAAAUUCGAGUCAAUUAACCACUGCAAACCAUCAAUGAGUAAAAGAUUUUUAAAUCUAGCUUAUAAAUCUUGUCCUGAAGGAGCUUUACCUCCCACACCCUUGCCAGAGUGCCCUAGUUUGUUACCUCUCUGUUUGAACUGUUAAUUGAGAUAGUGCCACUGAAAGCCCUUUGUAAAGGGCAAGGAGCGACGCAUAUGCUAAUUACCCUUCUGAAGACUUUUGUGUGCUUAACUGUUCUUAUCUUGUUUGUAAGUAUCUCCUUUCCUGGCUAUUGUGGAUUGCAAACUGCUCAGCAGGGAGACCAGCAGCAUUUUCGGAGUCUUGCCUGCUCCCUUUCGGUCCCUAGAGGGGCCUUACUAUGCCCCAAGUCCUUCAGCAGCAACCAGCUGGCCACUGAUGCUCAGGACCUUGGACCUGCUCUUUGCCAACACCCAGGACUGAGAAUGGGUGUUAAUUCGGACCAAAACCCAACAACAAGACAACUUGAUAUUUCAAGAGGAAAUCAAUUUUAAAACAAACUCUGCUUUUAUGAGGAAAGUGGGGAGUAUAAUCCUCCAGCGUCAGGCCUCAGUUUCCUUGCUGAGGACACAGACAGUCCGCUAACAGCACCAGGGGCUUCGGUAGGCACCCUGCAGUGCAGGAGUGGGACAAUGUCUAAGAUUUCCUUUUGCUGGCUGGCUAAUGUUGAAGGCUUUAUAAACCAUAUGCCCAUGGUCCCUGGUCACUUUAGAGCUGAAACUCUGGCUGCUGAGACUCUGUGAUUGCUCACAGUAGCCUCACUCACAUUUAGGAUUUUUCUUUUCUUGGUUUUUUUUCCACAUUUAGAAUUUUUGGUAUCUCUCAUCUCACAUCUGUAUAUUACUGAAACAGCUCUUAUACUAAGAAACAUAAUAAAGGUUAAAAGAAGUACAGACAGACAGAUAUCUCAAACUCAAAAUUCUUCUUGUUCUCAACACCAAAGCCAUCUCAAACCUAAAAACCAUGUCUAAUGAUUAACAGUGUAAACUGAUAGUAGGCAAUCACAAUAUCAUUCAAGGCUUUAAAACUUACAGUCUUAUACCUCAUAUUUUUGUGCACACACCCACAAAGGCAGGUCCUGGAUAACUGGCUUCGUGUUCUAACUGAAUUAGCCACAGCCAGCGAGCCCAAGAGGUGUUUAACAAACACUUGUUGACUGAUGGAUGGAAUCUGCGGGCGAAGGAUACCUUAGACGAUGAACUCUUUGUCAAAGCACUAAGGUACAUUGUGGAGUCCAUUUUUAUUAGCAAGUGUUUUUGCCAUAUUGAGGAGAAGAGGCCAGCCAAAAGCCUGUCCAUCUUGGAGCUCAGGUUCGUAAAGGAAACCCUAAGUAAGGGUUUACCUCCAACACCCACCUCUGUAAACAGCUGGCAUGCAGAUGGAGGCCUGGGCCUGAUGUAAACCCAGCUCCAUACCACCUUUGACUCCUGACUGAGUAUCACCACAGCCGCACCUAUGAGUUUAUGUACAAUUGCAAGAAGAAAAACAAAAACUGAGCAGAAGAAAAACAAGGAGAAAAAAAUAGUAUUGUAAAUGAUGAACACUGCCUGCCCAAGACUUCCUAUUUCAUCCUGCCAAGAGGCUUUUUUUCAAAGCAUGAAAUACCAAGUUCCUUGCGCCAUGCCGCAGUAGGCAUCCAUAUCUGUCUAAUUCAGCAGCUCAUUCCGGGAAGGAUCCUGGGCUUACGACUCUUGAGUUCUCCUUGCAGCCUCUUCCUCUCUUUCCAGGCAGAUUUUGUAAAAGUGGGAAAAGAUUCUCUCUCUGUUCUGCCAUGCCCUUGGAGUUCUGUGCUCGACUGGCUUCACUUCCGACUGCAGCUUUCUCCUGUCUUUGAGGUCCUGCCUCUCCAACCUCCCAUGACAGCCUUGGUUGGUCUCCACUGCCCAGCAGCUGCUUCGUUGUUGGGGUUCUCUGUCUGAGCCAGCUCUGAUGUGCACCUAGAGAUGUCAGAGGCCCCCCAAACUAUGCUUUCAACAACCAACAUGUCUUGGACUUAUACGAUCUUUUCAUUAAUGAGAAUCCUUUAACCCUUGCAAUGUCUCCUACUACUUCCGUGUUGUUACUGUUUUAUUUUAGAAAAUGUAAACAUACGCUUUCCUUCCCAUCUCUUGUUAUCGGUAGGAGUGUAGGAAGAAAGGAAGAGAAAAAGCAUACAAGAUUGACCCUACUCAUUGUGCUCUGUGGAAUUCUUUUCAGCUCAAUAUCUAAAUCCUCUUCUCCCAAUUCUUACUUGGAAUCCUGAGUACCAGAUCUUGAAUUUCUAUGGCGCUCCCCGAGCGCGGGACUGGCUGGUAGCCAUGUGAUAUUGAUUUGUUUUCACCAUAGCAACAGCAAAUUAAAACAACCAGCAGAGAGAAGGCAGGCGGUUAAGCAGUAAAGCUACAUGACCAGUAUAUUUCACAAGCAUAUUUUUUCCCAUCCUUUUGUUUUCUUCCUUUUUUGUUUUACUUUCACAAAUUUAAUACAAAAGCCACAGUAAAAAUAGCACUAAAUGCUUUGGGCACUACAAGGCCUAUCCCUGGAACAGUCUGCCUUGCUCAGCUUCUAGUAUAUUAGACUAGAUCUACGGAGAAAAUGCAAGUGACAAUUCUCUGACUUCCUUGGAAAUGUAAUUGUUGGUCUAAGAAUAAAUAUCUCUAGAAAAAUUUUAUGAGCAUAAGAUGAAGCAAGACAUAUAUCAUCCAACAAUUUAAUACCAGGGUUUCUACCUUUUGUACUUUAAAUAGCUCAUUGUGCCAAGAUACAACUUUCUUUUCUUUUUCUUUGUUUUGUUUUGGGGGGGGGGGUACAAGGUCAAGGUCUCUGAAAGUGCUGGCACCAUGAGAGAAAGUAUUAUUCAUUUCUAUUAAGAGCUAGGAAAAUUAGGUAGGCACUCGCUCAAGGCUCAGUGAGUGGUGAGAAAGAGGACACGGACUAGCGGACUAGCACUGGGAAUUCCCGGGAACUCCAAUGUGUUCUAACAAAAAUUCUAUCUUAAAAGGAUCCUUAGUCAGCACUAAUCUUCCCCCUCAUCCACAAGACCAAGAGUGCCACCUGUGACACGGGAUUAACAGCCGGUAGUAUUGUAUUUUACUUCCUCUGGGCCAUCUGCCCUAGAACAUGGUGCAUUAUCUCUAAAAGCAGCUGUUCUCACCAUCACAAGCAGCCUUGAACUUGGUGGCAUAACCUGCAUCCUAGACAAUAGCUCCUCGGGGACUGGGAAUAGGGCCCUGGGAACAGUCCACACAGGUGGCAGUACUGGGGUGCACCAGGGGGAAGGUAGGCCUGAAAGAAAGCUGAGCUCGGCUUCCUGCUACUUUUUAGCAGCCAAGCCAGAACCCUGAAGAAAACCUGUGCUGACCAGCAGGUAGGAGAUGAUGCUUUAUUUAUGAAGGGGAUUUCUUCAGAGUUUAUAAAGAACAAGCUAAAAUUUGAAGACAUAACUCAAGUCCUGCUAACUGGGAGUUAGAAUGUUCCUGCCCAGGACUUAGAGAAAUAUUCCUCUCCACGAGCCCGAAUAAAAGAACACACAGCACAAAUAGUUGGGGGAUGACGUCAGAAGUUCUGGGCUAGUGUCCUGCACUUCUCCUUGAAAGUAAAAACAGUGGGUCUAGAAGAAUCUAUGUGGCACUGCCGUUAUUUAAAUGAGCAUUGCUGCCCUCCAAAAGCGAGCGGGAGAGCUGAAGAAACUUCCUCUUACGUAAAGAUUAUAAAGAUGUCCCCCUGCUUUAUUCUUUCUACCUUAUUGUCCCCAAAAUGUACAGUUAACUAUCUUUCCACUUAACCUUUGUCUUGUAAAAGGGACAGUAAUGUCCCUUGAAAAGCAUUCACGGUUGUGGUUAGGCAAGUCUGGAUUUUCUUUUCCUUCGCUUCAGUGCUUGCUAACUAUUCUAAAAAUGUUACACAUUUAUUGUAAACACAUGCUUCCGAGGCCUAACAAAAAAGCACAGUUUCCUCAUGCCUGGCAGAAAUUUAAAACGGAAAAGGGCAGAAAGAAUUCUUUAACAAAUAUAUCCUUUCCCUCUCCUGGGCCAAGUGUGUUAAAAAUAAAUCUUUUCCAUCAUUUCUCACUGCUGCUUGUCGGCAAGAAAGUUGAUAUGGUUCGGCGCGGUGAAAACACAGCUUUAAAAGCUAGCUUGCUCUCAUUAAAUUAUUCUGCUGGCUGUGUGUUCUCAUUAAAAAUGCAUACAGAUCAGAUAAUUGCAGUAAGCAUUAUUAACCCAGCUUUACUUUGGAAUAUAAUGGUUCCACUUUAAAGCUGGAAACAAAGGCUCGGACAUGCCAGGAAAAGAAAUGUAAACAUUGAACUACAGUAUCAAAAACUUGCCAGAAAGCUACCUCUUGCUAGGUUGUUAAAAACGUGUCUUUGAAACUCAAUUAAAGCCUAGCAUUGUAGAAGGAGGGAGGUCCCUAAUUUCCAAUACACAAACCUAUUUUGGGCCCAAAUAUUCAAUCGAUGAUUAUUUACUAUUAAGUGUUUUGUUUUGUUUUUUAGAAUUGUUAAUUGCAGGUCUGUUUUCAAAUAACAGAAUCAACGUAAACUUUACCUAUUCCAGAACUAACUAUGACAGCUUGAAAAUUUUCUAUGACAAGAAAAUAAAAAUGCCCUCAAGAUUUCAACUGAAUUUAAAAAAAAAAAUAAAUAAAUGGAUCUAUUCUUUGAAUAAAAACUCGCCUGUAUGCCUCACCCCAAACAGGCGGCGAAGAUUCGAGCUUUUGCCAUUUCUUUUUCUCAAAUCAAAAUGUUACGUAAAACUCCAGGAUUCCCGGCAAGUAUUACAUUUGAAUUAGUGGAAUCCGGUUUCCCUGGCUUCCCUAAGCAACACACAUGGAAUGCAGCACACUGCAGCAAACUCUUUAAACAUUCAAAAAAAGGGGGGGAGGGAUCGCCUACCUUGUUUAGCUCAGCUUGUCCUCCCCCUGUACAGUAACCCCAGGGACAUCUGGCAGAAUCGAGUGGCCCAGGCUUCUCCACUGCAUCAUGAGGAAGAAAUUUCCAUGCCAAUAGUUCUCCUUCCCUGUUUAUUGUACUCUGAACGCCGUCUGCCGUAUCUGGAAAAUUUUACCUUCAGAUGAUGAAGCAUAGACAGUCUAAACUCUGUUGCUGUAAAGCUGCAGCCCUUCCUUCCGACAAGACCCGCC